CCAGCAAGUGCCACAGCGAGAGCUUCCCCUGCAAGUCCCCAUAAGGGUGGACAAGAUGACCUAAAGUAUCUUCUAACUCAAAUUUCUUCCAUUAAGGAAAUAUGAAAAACUGU